rnacentral:rRNA from 1 species
GUGAGGAAUUUUCCGCAAUGGGCGAAAGCCUGACGGAGCAAUGCCGCGUGAAGGAUGAAGGCCUAUGGGUUGUAAACUUCUUUUCUCAGAAAAGAAUUAUGACGGUAUCUGAGGAAUAAGCAUCGGCUAACUCUGUGCCAGCAGCCGCGGUAAGACAGAGGAUGCAAGCGUUAUCCGGAAUGAUUGGGCGUAAAGCGUCUGUAGGUUGUUUAAAAAGUAUUCUGUCAAAGAUUAGGGCUUAACCCUAGAUAGGCAGAAGAAACUUUUAAGCUAGAGUUUGGUAGAGGCAGAGGGAAUUCCCGGUGGAGCGGUGAAAUGCGUAGAUAUCAGGAGGAACACCAAAGGCGAAGGCACUCUGCUGGGCCAAUACUAACACUGAGAGACGAAAGCGAGGGGAGCAAAUGGGAUUAGAAACCCUGGUAGUCC